rnacentral:rRNA from 1 species
UACGUAGGGUGCGAGCGUUGCCCGGAUUUAUUGGGCGUAAAGGGCGCGUAGGCGGCCACGCACGUCCGUUGUGAAAUCGCCCGGCUCAACUGGGCGGGGUCAGCGGAUACGGUGUGGCUAGAGCAAGCUAGGGGGCAAUGGAAUUCCCGGUGUAGUGGUGGAAUGCGCAGAUAUCAGGAAGAACACCUAUGGCGAAGGCAGCUCUCUGGGACGGUACUGACGCUGAGACGCGAAAGCGUGGGGAGCGAACAGG